rnacentral:rRNA from 1 species
AUUAUAGAAAAUUCAUCAUUAUGAUUUUAAUAUUUAUAAUAUUAUAAUAAUGGUGUGCAUUUUUUCUAUAAAAGGACAUUGUAAUCUAUUAACAUAAAUUAUAUUUAUCAUAAGAUCAUUUCGCGUAAGUUUAUUCAAAUUAUUUUGCUUGCAAUUUAAUAUCGAAUAAAUGCAUUUGAUUUGAUAAAGUGUUGAUAGAUUUAUUAUAUAUAGUGCUUAAAUAUAUAUACAUAUAUUUUAUAAUAGCAUAUAAAUCAUUGAUUUUUAUGUUUAUUUAUAUGCACUUAUAUGAUUAACAAUGCGAAAGAUUCAGGAUACCUUCGGGACCCGUCUUGAAACACGGACCAAGGAGUCUAACAUAUUUGCAAGUUAUUGGGGAUAAAAACCUAAUAGCGAAAUUAACAUAACUUAUAAUGGGAUUAGUUUUUAGCCUAUUUUUAUAGUCUAUUAAUUCAAUCCCGGGGCGUUCUAUACAGUUAUGUAUAAUAAUAUUUAUAUUAUUUAUACCUCUAACUAGAGCGUACCUUGAGCAUAUAUGCUGUGACCCGAAAGU